rnacentral:rRNA from 1 species
UGGGGAAUAUUGCGCAAUGGAGGCAACUCUGACGCAGCCAUGCCGCGUGUGUGAAGAAGGCCCUCGGGUUGUAAAGCACUUUCAAUUGGGAGAAAAAGCUUGUCGUUAAUAGCGGCAAGCCUUGAUGUUACCUUUAGAAGAAGCACCGGCUAACUCCGUGCCAGCAGCCGCGGUAAUACGGAGGGUGCGAGCGUUAAUCGGAAUUACUGGGCGUAAAGCGCGCGUAGGCGGUUGCUUAAGUCGGAUGUGAAAGCCCCGGGCUCAACCUGGGAACUGCAUUCGAUACUGGGCGACUAGAGUACGAGAGAGGGAGGUAGAAUUCCCACGUGUAGCGGUGAAAUGCGUAGAUAUGUGGAGGAAUACCGGUGGCGAAGGCGGCCUCCUGGCUCGAUACUGACGCUGAGGUGCGAAAA